UAUAUUAGUUUGUAAGAUCUCUUAAGUGAUAGUAUAUAUAUGCAGACAAGUUUUUGUCUUGUUUACCACUAUCCUAUAUUUCGAUUGGCUGGUUAAUCAAAUCUCUAAUGUAAUGGGGAAGAACUUUCUUAAUUAUAUUGUGCAUGCACUAUUUAAAAGGGAACGUUUGAAGUAUUUGUUAUCCCACUAUAUGGAACAGUACAUUUUUGAUUAAGCAUAGAACAGUAAUUUGAUUUGACAAAUGCAUAUCCAACUAAGAAUUUCGAGAAUAAAGCAAACUAUAGGUUUUCUUUUGUUGACUUACAAAUAGAUCAGUCAAAUAAAAUGCAUAAUAAAUCAACUGAAAAUUAAUAUUAUUUAACGUUUAUUUCAGAAUAUAUUUAAUUUGUAGUUUCUGUAAUUAUUCACAAAUAAAUAAACAAAAUAUUUGCUGAGAAAAAAAUAAACAAAAUAAACAAAAUAUUUGCGUGGUCUAGUGCCUUCAAUUAUAGGGAACAAUUUACAUAGUACCUUCUUAAUUAAAUCAAUGGUUUGUGUUUAUAUGAAAUGAAACCAGAUAAUUAUAUAUUUUUAAUAUACAUGUAAAUUAAAGAUAGUCCUAUAGUAGUUUUUAUUUUAUUUUUAGAACAUAAAAAAGUUAGAAGAAUUAUCAAGUACAAUUAUAUUUUUACUCUGAUCCAAAACACUGAUAACUGUCAUGCAUGCUUCUACUUUCAUUUUAUUAUUAAUUGAAAAAAAAAUUGUGUAAACAGUAACUUUAGAAUCUCUAUAUGUUUGUAUAUGAGAUGGGUGUAUUUUUGCGUAUGGUGGGUUCUGAUUAGUUAUAUGUCUGACACACAAUCCUCAAGGCAACAUGAUAAAAGAUAGCAAAGAUAUGAAGAAUGGUUGAUGAAGCUUGUAAGGAGAAGACAGUCAUGUUAGAAAACGACUUGACCUUAACCACAGCCCAUAAAGUCCUUAACACAAUAUGUGAUGGUACCAUCUUAAAUUAUAAUCUUCUUUUAUUUUUGUGUACAUAUCCAAUCCGAAGUGGUCAAGAUCGGCCAUGAUUUAACAGUCUGCAGCUUUUGCAUAGAUCAAAAAAAUUGUUGCUCGAACUGGGUAGAACAAAUCUUUUGUACUAUCCGCUACAAUACCACCCCUAUUUUGUGCAAGACGACCUUCAGCAUUUUUUGAUUAAAUGUGGUCGUCUUGGUCCCUAAUCAGAGUCACGCUACAGCUCUACUAUUUAUUUAUAUGUAGGAUAACUGUAAAAUUUGCUCAAAAAAAAGGAUAACUGUAAAUAAUCAACUUACAAGAAUGUCUCCUGAUUGCUUAUGUUUUAACCUUUGACAACUUAGACACUAGCGAACUUAAUUAUAUACAAGUUAUGAUGUUUGGGAUAACACUAAAGCUACUACACAAGUAUAAAUUCUAGUCAAUUUUUCCGUGAUAGCUUAUAGAUCAUAGACCAAUGAUUUGUUUGUUGAACAUAUAAUUAAGCCAGCCUACAAAGCGGGGAAAAUAGUGAAAUUUAAAUUAAAUUUUGAAACCAUAAUAUGCAUAUAACAAAUUAGCUUCAACUCACUGAAGAAAAAAAAAUUGAGAAUAAAAAAUGUUUAAAAAAAAAAAAUUCAGCUGGCGAUGUGAUGUAAACAUUUUUUACAUGGACCACGCUUUCUAAAUCAAAGAUCUAUGAUUAAUAGUUUGAUAUGAUAUAUGUCUAUACAUGUGUCACAUACUACAGUUAUAUAUUUCAAAAGAUAAUGUGAAGUAUCACAUGGAUGCAGGCACCAACGUCUAUCUACCAAUUCCCUCUACAGGAAAUAUUAAUGACAAUUGGAAUUUAGGGAAUUAUGAGUAGUAUUUAAGAAAAUGAUGGCUUUACUGAAACACCAAAGAAAACUAUGUCACUGAAAAGGGCAAAAAAUAAAACCUUCACAGUAUUGUGAAAUUAGGGAAAGAAGAUGCUUGGUUGUAGACUACAAACCAACACAUAGAACCCUAAAUCUGAUCAGGAGCUGUUUCCUUUGAGUUUACUUUGUUUGAGCACUAAGAUAUGGUCUAAUCACCGAACUUCUUUUGCUUCUUUGGGUAUAUUUAUCUCAUCACGGGUCGUCUCCACAAAAGAAAAAGGUAUGCGAAUGAAAUCAAAGAAGGAACUAUUUGAUCUUGGAAGAAUAAAUUAAAGAAAAAGCAAGCAAAUAAGAGAGCAGAAGGAUAUAGAGAGAUGGGUGGAGGAAGCGUACAAAAAAUCUGAAAAGAUUAAUGGGGUUUGUUUUGAGGGAAAGGGAGACCAGUGGGGACUAUAUUACAAUGUUCUUUUUACAUAUAGUUUCUAUUAUUUUUUCAGAGUUGAAUACUCAAGAAUAAAAUGAAUGUUCUCUCGUGUAAUUUUUCUGCUUAGGGUAAAUUGUAUAUGUAUAUAUAACUUAAAAGAAUACUAAUUAAUAAAACUCUCA